CUACGGGGCGCUGCAGUGGGAAUUUUGCGCAAUGGGGGAAACCCUGACGCAGCAACGCCGCGUGAAGGAUGAAGGCCUUUGGGUCGUAAACUUCUGUCAGAGGGGAAGAAAUGCCCGAAAGGGAGCUGACGGUACCCUCAAAGGAAGCACCGGCUAACUCCGUGCCAGCAGCCGCGGUAAUACGGAGGGUGCAAGCGUUGUUCGGAAUUAUUGGGCGUAAAGAGCAUGUAGGCGGCCUGUUAAGUCUGGUGUGAAAGCCCGGGGCUCAACCCCGGAAGUGCAUUGGAUACUGGCAGACUUGAGUAUGGGAGAGGAAAGUGGAAUUCCGAGUGUAGGAGUGAAAUCCGUAGAUAUGCGGAGGAACACCAGUGGCGAAGGCGGCUUUCUGGACCAAUACUGACGCUGAGAUGCGAAAGCGUGGGGAGCAAACAGGAUUAGAUACCCCCGUAGUC
rnacentral:rRNA from 1 species